CCAUUGUGCAUUUCAAAGGUAUGUAUCUACAGGUUGAACAUUGUAAUAAAACUUAUUGAUGCUUCUAGUGCAAUAUUUGUUCUUAUCUAUUGGGUAAUGCUACAGUAAUUUUGGCACAUUGAUAUUAUUUUACUUAACAAGAUAGCAUUGUUAAUUUUAUCCCAGGGAAACAUUAUAUUCUGAUUGCUAACCAAAGUACUUUUAUAACACAGUUAUUUUAAGUAAGGAAGAUACUGAAAGCUGAUAAUGCCAUUCCUGAUGGAUUUUAUUUAUUUAAUAUUACAUGUUUUUUGUUUUCUUUGGGAGAAACUAUCCAUGUAAGUUUUAUAGGUCUUUUAAAAAUUAAAUGGCUAUUCCUUAAUCAGUCCUACAUAUGUAUAUUGAGGAGAGCUUUCCAUAAUUUAUAUAGAUUGGAAAAAAAUGAAAAUUAACUGUUUCAAGUAACGACCUAAUUAUUCUGCAGCAGUGCUAAAGCUUAACAAUAUUUGUAGAUAAGGUGCAGUUAACUCAAAUAUUUAUUUCAGCAAUUGCCAUUUAGCAAAAGUGAAUAUGACAUACUAUUAUUUUAAUUCUAGAUGCAAUUUUGAAAAAGGUCCUCUAAUCUUUUUAACAAUUUUAUCAAACAGUACCAAUGUUUUUUAAUUUUUUAGGACAAUUUGUUUAGUGCCAUGUGAAAAAUAUAUCUGCUGAAUAAUACAAAAAACUGUUCUUGCACUUACAGAUGUCAAAAUAAUACCUAUUCCUGUUAAAUUUGUCAUGAUUUAGAAUUUAUUUUACGUCAUCAAUGCUGGAAUGCAUAUUGCAGUGCUAGGAAGGGCAGUUGCGAACAUCAAAGUAAUAACACCAAAUUCAAAGUUCAUAUUUUUCAUGAACUCAUUUCCUUGAAGUGUUAUUUGAUGGUAUAUGUUCAAGAAUGCCUGUUAAAGGUCGACUGACAUUCCUUUGUGUUGUUUGUAUGUCCUGCUUUUUUGCUAAAACCUUAUCUGAAGAAAGGCUUAUAAGGUUCCUAUAUACUAUCCUAAGGAGUCGGUCAUACAUUAAUAGAUUCUGCAGUUUUAAUAUGUAUUUUUAUUAUCAAUUUUAACUUGGAAGUCACAAAAAAUAUCUGUAAAGACCCUUCACAGAUUCAAGAUCAGGGACACAAACAACUUUUUAAAGUAUAGACCUUUGUUUAAAAUUAAAAGUAUUUCUUUUAUGCAAUUGCAUAUAUUGACUCUUAGUGCUUGGUUAAUAUCAGAUUGGUUUUUCAUUGGGAUCAAAAUAUUGUCUGAACAUACAAUUCACAAUCAUUUCAUUUAUUAUACAAAAUGUGGAAAUACAUUAGCGGUUAUCAGCAUAUAAAUUUAGAAUCCAUUAUAGGAAAUCAAUUAUUCCUGAUUUCUAUUCAGUUGAAAUGAAAGGUCAACAUUAUUCUAAUUUUAGUUGUUAUAUGUAUUGUUUUGAAGAACUUAUCAAAUUGUAGUCUCUUCAUUUAAAGAACACAAACCUUAAGUAAGUAAAAACAUAAAUUUGCCAUAUAGCUGCACACUAGAUAUCUUAGAAUGUAGAUAAUUAGGCUAUAGCAUACAAUGUUAAUUUUUAUUUUGGCUUCAAUAAGUGUGCUAUGCAAAAGAUUGUAGUUAAAUAACUAUCCCACCUUAAACUUGUUUGUCAUAAUAAAUGUAAAUAGAAUUGAAAUUGUACAUAUUUAAUUAUAUUUAUUUGUUAUAUAAGGUUUAUUUCUAUCUUUGACAACUUUAUUUAUACAUAAAAGUAUAUUUUUGUUAUUUUAAUCAGCUAAUUGCUUUCAUAUAUAUGUUUAAAAGCUUUAACCAGAGCUUAUGGAUUCCAUGCAGACACAUGUGUAUGUGUAUGUUAGUAGAGAUUUAUUGUAGGUAAAUAAUAGCGUAAGAUCAAUUCCACUGUUAUAACAAGAGACCAUUCCCAUGGAUUGUCUUCCCUUAAUUUCUGAUUCACCAUCUGUUAGUCUUGUGUUAGUUUUGAGUUGUUACACAAUUAGUUAAGUCUGUAGAGAAGUUUGUAGUUUAAAUGAAGGAAGAACUUCUCAUUUAGUAAAAAAAAUUAUGAUCUGAAAAUACCUUUUUCACCUGAUCUAUUAAUUAUUCAUGCUACUAGGUUCAAGCUCUUCAGGGAUUUUUAAUAGUGAAGUAUUUGAUUACUGAAAAUUUGAUAUAAUGAAAAAUACCAAACUUUAAGGUGAAUUUCAAAUGGAAAGCCCCAACUAACUUCAAAGGUACUGUUUAUUUCCCAAUUAAUUAGUGGCAAAAAUAGUUUAGCCAUGUUUAUAACUCAUUUAUCUUUCAUUAAUCCCAAAUAUGAACACCUAACAUUUUCAUACUGUUCUAUAGUAAUAUACAAAUAUACUAAGGAAUAAGGAUCUUACCUCCUCUCAUUCUUGCAAUUCUUUAAGGCAUUUAGGUGUAUCUAAAGUAAUUUGUAUUUUACACACAAGUUUACUACUUUUAAUUGUUAAUGUUGGCAUAUUUGUAUUGUGUAUAAUUUCACUGAUGAAUUUGGUGUAUCUAUUGUAUGAUAACUAUGUAUUUAAUGAUAAUUUGGUGUUGCUUAAUUUGCUGUUAUAACAUUGGCUCUUUAAAUUAUAUUAAUUUAAGUAUCACCAUAAGAAUACGCUUUAAUUUCUGUUUGUUAUUAUUUUUUAUUGAUAUGGCAUUAAUUUCAAAUUAAAUGGUAUGGUUGUAAAUAACAUUAUAUCAUAGUCAGUAAUUUGAAAGUUGUGCAUGAGUGUUGAACAUUUUGUAACUCAUUUCCAAGUGGGGAACCUUUAAUAAAAAGGAAGACCAAAUAUUUCUUGUUAUUACCAGUAAUCUGAUAGAAAUGCAUUUACACAAGGAUCUGUGUUGAAGGCCG
rnacentral:lncRNA from 1 species